rnacentral:rRNA from 1 species
AGAGUUUGAUUCUGGCUCAGGAUGAACGCUAGCUACAGGCUUAACACAUGCAAGUCGAGGGGCAGCAUGAACUUAGCUUGCUAAGUUUGAUGGCGACCGGCGCACGGGUGAGUAACACGUAUCCAACCUUCCGUUUACUCAGGGAUAGCCUUUCGAAAGAAAGAUUAAUACCUGAUAGUAUGGUGAGAUUGCAUGAUAGCACCAUUAAAGAUUUAUUGGUAAACGAUGGGGGUGCGUUCCAUUAGGUAG